rnacentral:lncRNA from 1 species
AGGAAAUGCCCGCAAGGGAGGUCUGUGCCUUGCUCCAAAGACGAUUCUGAGGGCUUUGGUAUUUAAAGGGGAAAGAGGGAAGUUGUGGUUACAUGACUGAAUCCAUGUGUUGCAAGAGAAAAGGAGCAGGUAGGGGAAUAGCCUAUUAUGUGUUCUUCUAGCUCUCAGUAAAUCGGCGCUUCACUUAAGAUAAGUGGGAGGCCAUGAGAGCCGGAAUUCUCACGAGCAGCAGCGGCCCUGUGGCCCUCAGCAGAGGGACUGACUGGAAGCAGAUGUGGCACAAGUCUCCCCAUGCGGCUUCACUGUUGACUCUCAGGACAUCUACCCUGGGGACUUCCCGCACCAAGAAGACCCUGAGUCACAUGCUUGCUGCUGUCCCCAUCUAUGAUGGCUGUAAAUUCCAUUUGCCUGCUGCUGUCCAUGAAUGGAAGUCUACCUGGGACCCUCUCCUGACCUGGAGACCCACACAUCCAAAUGCCUACUUGGCAGCUCCCGUGGAUGUUUCGUGAUCAGCAUUCCCAACAGUGAAAUCCUGAAUGCUCUUCCCCAAAUCCACUCCACACACGGCCUUCCCUAUCCCUUGUGGUGGCAACUGAGUCCACUGUGGGUCCAUGGGCCCCCCUUUCUUUGACUCCCCAGCUCCAGUCCCCUAGCAAGACCAGCUGGAUCUGCUCUUUGGAUUGCCAGGAUCUGCCCACGUCUCAGGGCCCUCACUGCCUGGCCCACACAUGAUGCUCAAAGACACUCUCACACAUGUCCAAAUAUUUAAAAGUUAUACAUCAAACCCACAAACUUUAAUUUGAUAAGUAAAAAAUGUUUAAAUAAACAAUUUUAAAAGUA